GGGCGAUUAGCUCAGCUGGUUAGAGCGUCACAUUGACAUUGUGGAGGUCACAGGUUCGAGCCCCGUAUCGCCCA
rnacentral:tRNA from 1 species